CUGUAGUCUCUAUGAUGAUAUGAAGGUAAAACACCAGCCCUGCUCACCUGUAGUCUCUAUGAUGAUAUGAAGGUAAAACACCAGCCCUGCUCACCUGUAGUCUCUAUGAUGAUAUGAAGGUAAAACACCAGCCCUGCUCACCUGUAGUCUCUAUGAUGAUAUGAAGGUAAAACACCAGCCCUGCUCACCUGUAGUCUCUAUGAUGAUAUGAAGGUAAAACACCAGCCCUGCUCACCUGUAGUAUCUAUGAUAUGAAGGUAAAACACCAGCCCUGCUCACCUGUAGUCUCUAUGAUGAUAUGAAGGUAAAACACCAGCCCUGCUCACCUGUAGUCUCUAUGAUGAUAUGAAGGUAAAACACCAGCCCUGCUCACCUGUAGUAUCUAUGAUAUGAAGGUAAAACACCAGCCCUGCUCACCUGUAGUCUCUAUGAUGAUAUGAAGGUAAAACACCAGCCCUGCUCACCUGUAGUCUCUAUGAUGAUAUGAAGGUAAAACACCAGCCCUGCUCACCUGUAGUCUCUAUGAUGAUAUGAAGGUAAAACACCAGCCCUGCUCACCUGUAGUCUCUAUGAUGAUAUGAAGGCAAAACACCAGCCCUGCUCACCUGUAGUAUCUAUGAUAUGAAGGUAAAACACCAGCCCUGCUCACCUGUAGUAUCUAUGAUAUGAAGGUAAAACACCAGCCCUGCUCACCUGUAGUCUCUAUGAUGAUAUGAAGGUAAAACACCAGCCCUGCUCACCUGUAGUCUCUAUGAUGAUAUGAAGGCAAAACACCAGCCCUGCUCACCUGUAGUCUCUAUGAUGAUAUGAAGGCAUAACACCAGCCCUGCUCACCUGUAGUCUCUAUGAUGAUAUGAAGGUAAAACACCAGCCCUGCUCACCUGUAGUCUCUAUGAUGAUAUGAAGGUAAAACACCAGCCCUGCUCACCUGUAGUAUCUAUGAUAUGAAGGUAAAACACCAGCCCUGCUCACCUGUAGUCUCUAUGAUGAUAUGAAGGUAAAACACCAGCCCUGCUCACCUGUAGUCUCUAUGAUGAUAUGAA